CCUACGGGAGGCAGCAGUGAGGAAUAUUGGUCAAUGGGCGCGAGCCUGAACCAGCCAAGUCGCGUGAGGGAAGACGGUCCUAUGGAUUGUACACCUCUUUUGUCGUGGAGCAAAAGACGCCACGCGUGGCGUUCCGAGAGUACCCGAAGAAAAAGCAUCGGCUAACUCCGUGCCAGCAGCCGAGGGAAUACGGAGUCGGCGAGCGUCAUCCGGAUUUUUUGGGUUUAAAGGAUGCGCAGGCGGAAGAUCAAGUCAGCGGUAAAAUUGAGAGGCUCAACCUCUUCGAGCCGUUGACACUGGGUAUAGUGAGUGAGCGAGAGGUAUGCGGAAUGCGUGGUGUAGCGGUGAAAUGCAUAGAUAUCACGCAGAACUCCGAUUGCGAAGGCAGCAUACCGGCGCUCAACUGACGCUCAUGCACGAAAGUGUGGGUAUCGAACAGGAUUAGAUACCCGAGUAGUC
rnacentral:rRNA from 1 species